GCGUAUCCGGAUUUAUUGGGUUUAAAGGGUGCGUAGGCGGCUUUUUAAGUCAGGGGUGAAAGACGGUGGCUCAACCAUCGCAGUGCCCUUGAUACUGAAGAGCUUGAAUGAAUUAGAGGUAGGCGGAAUGUGACAAGUAGCGGUGAAAUGCAUAGAUAUGUCACAGAACACCGAUUGCGAAGGCAGCUUACUAUGAUUUUAUUGACGCUGAGGCACGAAAGCGUGGGGAUCAAACAGGAUUAGAUACCCUGGUAGUCCACGCCCUAAACGAUGAAUACUCGCUGUUAGCGAUACACAGUUAGCGGCUAAGCGAAAGCGUUAAGUAUUCCACCUGGGGAGUACGGUCGCAAGAUUGAAACUCAAAGGAAUUGACGGGGGCCCGCACAAGCGGAGGAGCAUGUGGUUUAAUUCGAUGAUACGCGAGGAACCUUACCCGGGCUUGAAAGUUAGUGAAUCAUUUAGAGAUAGAUGAGUCCGCAAGGACACGAAACUAGGUGCUGCAUGGCUGUCGUCAGCUCGUGCCGUGAGGUGUUGGGUUAAGUCCCGCAACGAGCGCAACCCCUAUGUUUAGUUGCCAGCACGUUAAGGUGGGGACUCUAAACAGACUGCCUGUGCAAACAGAGAGGAAGGAGGGGACGACGUCAAGUCAUCAUGGCCCUUACGUCCGGGGCUACACACGUGCUACAAUGGAUGGUACAGAGGGCAGCAAGCUGGUAACAGCAAGCAAAUCUCCAAAAGCCAUUCACAGUUCGGAUAGAGGUCUGCAACUCGACCUCUUGAAGUUGGAUUCGCUAGUAAUCGUAUAUCAGCAAUGAUACGGUGAAUACGUUCCCGGGCCUUGUACACACCGCCCGUCAAGCCAUGGAAGUUGGGGGUACCUAAAGUAUGUAACCGCAAGGAGCGUCCUAGGGUAA
rnacentral:rRNA from 1 species